CCCAGGGGCACGUCCUGCUGUUCAUGCCCUCCCUCGUCUCGGCCCCCUGCUUCCUCCUCCUCUUCCAGCUGCUGCUGCAAAGUCUGGGGGUUAAGGGGCCCGCUACCAUAAACACUAUUAAUCACUGCUGCAGGGAAGACGCUGGCUCCAGGCACCAAAAGAAGACAUUGUUUAUGAGUUCUCUGGAAGCCAUGGAAGAAGAGCCCAAAAGUUUUAAAGGUUAAGGAUUUUAGUCCUUACUUCAUAUAUACAUCCCUGGGCAGCACCAGAUGGGAGUAGAGGGCUUGGAAACCCUUCCUGAGCGGCUGACUGUGGAACCCAAAGACAUCCAGUUGAGGGCCUUGUGCGGAUCUCCACUUGAGGGCCUUGUGCGAAUCUCGAGCUGUUGGUCAUGGUGAGGAAGCCAAGCCUGCGCACACGGUGACCACAUACAAAUGUUUGCAGCAUCUGCAGCUGUGGCUCCUCUGCGCCAGGUCCUCCUCCCCCAGGGCUUUCUCCCUGCGCCUUGGCACGGCCACCUGCAAACCACUUGCUGGACACAGAGCACAUGGUAGGUGGCUGAGCCCGCGGUCCCGGGCCCUCGAGCAGGUGGCUGCUGGCCCUUGAGAAGGCUACCGGCAAAGGAUGGCAGGAAAAGUGGCUGCUGCAGCUUCUCCAGCACCCCCACGUGGUGCGUAGGACACCAACACGUGAAAACCACAGGGAACGGAUGUUGGUGAGAGAGACCCUAUGGUCGUGAUAGGACCACAUUUAAGACAUGGUGACCCUAAGGGAGGAAUAAUUCCAGAGUCUUCCCCUGAAGUCCACCCUCUGCCUGACAGCCGUAAUUGUUAAGAAAUCUCAUUUCAUGUCUCAAUGGAAAGUGGGGAGGUGUGGUGGAUGGAAGGAAGUUGUUCGAAUAAGUAUGAAGCAACAUCCUGCCAGUCAUCCACAAUGAACCAUGUCAACACACCUUUCACACAGGGAACAAAAGUAAAAACAGGCUUCAUCAUUUCCAAGACUCACCGUGUGGCCAGGAAGUCAAAUUCUACAAGUUGAUCUUCAGCUUCUUGGAAUGUUGCCUCAAAGCCUUUUUUAUUUUCAAUCGAUUUCUGCAUUUUGGCUUCUGGGGGUUGGGCAAUGAAAGAGCCCCAACAGCAGCCCAAGCCUGAUCCCUCUACCUUCUAUCCCUUUCAGCUACACAGUGAACCUCAGCUGAAAUUAUGGUUAUGCAAUCAUAAAUUCCUUGGGUUAAUCUUUUCUGCUUGCCUACCCUACCCCAACAUGGUUCACUUACAGUGUUGUCAACGAUUGGUCCUCAAAGGAGCAAUGACUAAACGAGUAUUCUAAAUAAUUUUAUUUUAAAUAAUUUGACCUUUAAAAAAAGAAAAAACCCCACCUAUGUUAAGCAAAGAUUUUUAACAUAGUGCCCUAACACCUCUGUCAGCUAUUAGCCUGAUGCUAACUCUAAAUUCCAGAUUGAAAGGAAAAAAAAAAAAGUUCUCCAAAUGACAGCAAGUCUAUUCCAGGCAGUCUUGUAAAAGAACCCUUAGUGUUAGGGGAUAAUGAAAGUGCGUGCUACCUAUGACUGAGCUAACAUGGUGCCAUGACCUGGCAAUUUCUUUUUAUUGCUGACAUAUCCAUUCCUGCAUAGCACAGAACAUCAGCGUUGCCUUCAUGUAAAUUUAAUAGGUUUUCCUUGUCAAUGAUAUAAUCAGAUACACUGUGAGAAGGAGGGGCUUUCAGGGAUGGCUCAGAAGCUUAAUUGUUUUUCCAUUUAUUUUUAAAAUGCAAAUUACACUAGUAAGUCAAAAAAAUCACUCUGUUAAAAAUACAUUCAGAAUUAACAAACGCAAAAAAAAAAAGACACAUCAGGAUUGUAACUCUUGCCUUCUGAAUAUUAGGUUUAUAACAAAAGCUCAGCCUAGAAAAA